UACGGGGGGAGCAAGCGUUGUUCGGAUUUACUGGGCGUAAAGGGCGUGUAGGCGGCCACCGCAAGUCGGUUGUGAAAUCUCCGGGCUUAACCCGGAAAGGUCAACCGAUACUGCGGGGCUAGAGUGCAGAAGGGGCAACUGGAAUUCUCGGUGUAGCGGUGAAAUGCGUAGAUAUCGAGAGGAACACCUGCGGCGAAGGCGGGUUGCUGGGCUGACACUGACGCUGAACUGCGAAAGCUAGGGGAGCGAACGGG
rnacentral:rRNA from 1 species